rnacentral:lncRNA from 1 species
UUCACAUCUCCAGCACUGGGCCCUUUCAUCUCCAGCGCUGGGCCCUUUCAUCUCCAGCACUGGGCCUUUACAUCUCCAGCGCUGGACCUUUACUUGUCCAGCACUGGGCCUUUACAUCUCCAGUGCUGGGCCCUUACAUCUCCAGAGCUGGGCCCUUUCAUCUCCAGCGCUGGGCCCUUUCAUCUCCAGCGCCGGGCCCUUAACAUCUCCAGCGCCGGGCCCUUUCAUCUCCAGCGCCGGGCCCUUACAUCUCCAGCGCCGGGCCCUUAACAUCUCCAGCGCCGGGCUCUUUCAUCUCCAGCGCCGGGCCCUUACAUCUCCAGCGCCGGGCCCUUACAUCUCCAGCGCCGGGCCCUUUCAUCUCCAGCGCCGGGCCCUUUCAUCUCCAGCGCCGGGCCCUUAACAUCUCCAGCGCCGGGCCCUUUCAUCUCCAGCGCCGGGCCCUUAACAUCUCCAGCGCCGGGCCCUUAACAUCUCCAGCGCCGGGCCCUUAACAUCUCCAGCGCCGGGCCCUUAACAUCUCCAGCGCCGGGCCCUUUCAUCUCCAGCGCCGGGCCUUUACAUCUCCAGCGCCGGGCCUUUACAUCUCCAGAGCUGGGCCUUUACAUCUCCAGGGCUGGGCCCUUAAAUCUCCAGCACUGGGCCUUUAUAUCUCCAGCGCUGGGCCCUUCACAACUCCAGCGCUGGGCCCUUCACAUCUCCAGCGCUGGGCCCUUCACGUCUCCAGCGCUGGGUCCUUCACAUCUCCAGCACUGGGCCUUCACAUCUCCAGGGCUGGGCCCUUAAAUCUCCAGCACUGGGCCUUUAUAUCUCCAGCAGCAAUAUAAAGCCGAGGACCCAGCAAGUGUUCACCUCUGGAGAAUUUGAUGAAUUCUAUGCAUCUGAAAGGCCUCCGAUGCUUAAGACCUUUUUUUUCUUUUCAAGUCUCGAACAUUUAUUGAACACGUAUAUGUGCCAAGCGCUAUUCUCAAACUGCCCCAUGAGGAAUGGACCACAGAGCUCCAUUUUACAGAUGGGGAAACUGAGAUGGGAGGAUGAGCCUGAGACCACACAGGAAGCAAAGCCUACAGCUUCCAAGAUGAAGCAUGGAAUUCCAGACUGAGGGGCUUUACAAGUUCAUCUCUCUCCCUACAUCCAACUCAGUCUGCUCCUACAACAGAUCCCACUGCCAGAGAGACAAUGAAAGAAACCAAGGCUUCAAAAGGAAGCUACACUGAAGCAGAAAGAACUAGUGGUACCCCUGGAAGCCACACCUGCUCUUCCUAUGCUCCAGGGCUCUGUGCCAUUCCUGCAGCUUGAGCCAGGAGGAAUGUUUGCAAGGAUACCAGCCAUUUUGCCAAUGUGCACAGUUUUUCUUUAGUCAUUACUGGAGGAGACUGACUUUCUUCUGUUUCAAAUAUCUAAAGAUCACUUUCAGAGCAAACUGAGAGUAAACUAACUGGAUGGGCUAAUCCUACCUUGGAUCCUCCUCUGCCAUUUCAUUGUUAGAAUCAAUUUCUGCAGGAGUAUUUCACAUAUUUUACUGUCAGUGUCUCUGCAAACCCAACACAUUAUGGAGGAGAGAGCAAGCCUCUGAAGCCAGACACACCUGAGAUUAAAUCCUGGUUCUGCCAUUUUAUUAGCCAUGUGACUUUAAAAGGUUACUUAAUCUCUCAGGGCCUUGAUUUCCUCAUCUGUAAAAUUGGGUAAGAAUGCCUACUUUGUUUUAUUUGUUGUUGUUGUUUUGUCCGGUUUGGGGUGUUUGUUUGUUUGAUAGAGACAGUGUCUUACUCUUGCCCAGGCUGGAGCGCACUGGCAUG